CCCCAAGUCCUUCAAGUGAAAAAAAAAAAAAGGUCACGACUUUCCAGUCUACCACGGCCGAAUUGAAAAAAAAAAAAAAAAGGCAAAUUUGAUGUUGGGGGGGGGAAACCCUUGUAACUAUGUUAAAAGUCUCUCUGGUUAUUUUCACUUUUUGUUUUGGUCAAGGAAGAAGCAGAUGACAGAGCCGUUUUUGAAAACCUUGUAGAUCGCCUUGUUGUUUUAAAAAAGGAUCAGAACUACAGCUGCAGGAGGAUCUCUGUGACUCCGGGUCAGCCUGAUCUACACAGUGAGAUUGUUUUAAAGAGAAUCCCCUUCCCUGUACACCACUGUCCAGUGAUGUACUCUCCUGCACUGGAGUGUCUUAAUUCAAUCCCUUGCCGAGGAGGUGGAAUGCCAUCUCAAAAGGAAAACAAACAACGCAACUGCCCAAGUUGCUGUUCACUUUUUGAAAAAGUCUAGUGUAGCAUGCCUGACCUUGAACCUGCAACUCUACCAAGUGAUGACGUCACAGGUAGUCAAGGUUGUGGCAAGUUGACGUUUAAAACCAACCAUCACACGAGGCACGUACUCUACCAACUGUGCGACACCCUGAGGCCCUGACUGAAUUUUGCAGGAGCCAAAUCAGCUGAACAUACCUCCCUUGUGACAGGCCAACUGCUGGAACCAACAGUCCCCACUGGCAGGGACAUAGCUAUCCCGGGUCAGGAAACCUCGCUUAACACAGCAAAAUGGGCUGAGACCAGCGACCGCAGGUCAGGAAGGACGUCUGAGGGCUGUCUGUGUACUGCUCCCUGCUGGGAACGCCUGCCCAGUUCACCUCGUGCCUGGCUUUCUGUAGGAAGUAUUUCUUAGCCAUAUAAGCCUGGCACAGUUCUAGGAAGCUUUAGCUGCUGACCAGAUGAAUUCAAGACAUUUAUGGCCAAACCUUUGUGCCCACUGAUGAGCUGUGCGACUGCUGUGGUCACGCAGUAUCAAGGUCGUCCAGCCCACAUUUCCCCACCACCCGCGAGCCCCUGAUGCUUGAGAACUGUUUACUCCUCCUGUGACCGGCUUCAGUAGCUAGAUAAGGCUGACUGACACGAGGCGGGCAGGAGAAGCCCGCCUGAGCCACUGGCCAUCCGCCACCCCUCUGCAGCACUACGCCCAGCCGCCCCCCUGCUCAGCCUUUGCCCUGCCUUAUCUGGCUGCUCUAACCUAGCACAGACUUUCCCGAAGAAUACAGCCUGCAGUCGUCACGCGCUCCUGGCGUCCAUCCAGCUCCUAGAGUCUGAAGACUCUGGGUUACCGUUCUGCACCAGACUCUACCUCAGCCGUGAAGCAGGGGCUAGACAUGCCCCUUACUGAGAACUGGGGUGGUGAGCAGCUGAUACUUUUUAGUGUUGUAUUAGUUACUUUUCUCUUUGCUGAGACAAAGUGUCUAACAAAGCCAACUUAGAGGAAGGGCUUAUUUGGGGUCACGGUUUUAGAGUACCAUCCCCACUCUUGGAGUAGGCAUGACAGCUAGGGCAGCCCGAGCUGUGGCAGCAGGAGCCCGGAUGGAACAACUGGCCACACUCUGUCCCCAGCCGAAAAGCUUCCAUGCAAAUACAAACCUCGGGUCUGGAGAGAAAGCUCAGUGAUUCCCAGCAUCCAUAUUGGGCAGCUCACAACUGCCUGUAAGUCCAAUCCUCCAGGAUAUCCUAUAGCUCUGCCCUGCAAGGACACACACACACACACACACACACACACACACACACACACACACAUACACACGAUAUCCAAACACCAGUGGGGUAUGUUCCAUCUGCAGAAAAUAUUUGGAUAACCUGUUAUCAUAUUAAUCAUCACAUUUAAGCCUUCUCGAUGACACCAAUGACACCAACCAGACUGGCAACGUGUGCACAUGACUUGACACAUCUAUUCACAAUGCACAGUUAGAUGUCACAAUAUCUGCUGACAUCCUGCACCUGUCCAGACGAAAGGGAGUCAUGUCGAAACAGUACAGCUCUGCUAGUGGGGGAAUUAGCUUAGAUUUGUUCAUAUUUGUUUCUUUAAGAGACAGGACCACAAUUACACAAGAUGAUCUGAAACCUACCAGCCUAGCCUUGAACUCAGACACUAUCCUGCCUCGGAUUAUAGGCGUGUGCCCCAGACCUGGCCUCAUUUGUUUAAUUUUGGCAUUUUAAAUGCAAGUUCACUCCUGUAGUGGCACUACAUACCUUUAAAGUGUCCCCGUUUCUGACGCAACUUCCCUCGAAGCACGCUUGCUCACCUGAUGGCUUAGUCUGACUCCUGCUGCCGUCAUAAAACAUUCUGGCCCCAAGCAACCGGGAGGGAGAGUUUGUUUAGCACACUCCCAUGCCACAGUCUUUCCUGGAGGGAAGUCCGGGCAGGAACCUGGAGGAGGAAACUGAGGCAGAGAGGCUAGCUGCUUGCUGGCUUGCUCCUCAUGGCUUGUUCAUCCUGUUUUCUUAUACCACCAUUGCCCAGCGGUGGCACCAACUGU